CCUACGGGUGGCAGCAGUGGGGGAUAUUGCACAAUGGGGGAAACCCUGAUGCAGCGACGCCGCGUGUGGGAAGACGGUCCUCUGGAUUGUAAACCACUGUCACCAGGGACGAAAAUGACGGUACCUGGGGAGGAAGCUCCGGCAAACUACGUGCCAGCAGCCGCGGUCAUACGUAGGGAGCAAGCGUUGUCCGGAAUUACUGGGUGAAAAGGGAGCGUAGGCGGGGAUGAAAGUUGGGUGUCAAAACUACCGGCUCAACCGAUAGUCGCACUCAAAACUGGAACUCUUGAGUGAAGUAGAGGCAGGCGGAAUUCGUAGUGUAGCGGUGAAAUGCGUAGAUAUUAGGAGGAACACCAGUGGCGAAGGCGGCCUGCUGGGCUUUUACUGACGCUGAGGCUCGAAAGUGUGGGGAGCAAACAGGAUUAGAUACCCUAGUAGUC
rnacentral:rRNA from 1 species